UGGGGGAGUUUGUUGUGUAAGGGUUUAUUGAGAAAAAUAGAAAAAAAAAAUGAGGAAAAAGAAGAAAAAAAAGAAAAAGAAAAAGAAAUGAAUGAAAGAAAGUUGGGAUAUAAGUCAGAAAGUGGUUGUAACUUAAGUGAAGCAAAAGAGAAACUUACAUGCAUGAUUGAAAUUAUUUAAUCUCUUAGCUCAAGGUGCUUUGUUAUCC
rnacentral:lncRNA from 1 species